rnacentral:rRNA from 1 species
AACGAACGCUGGCGGCAGGCUUAACACAUGCAAGUCGAGCGGAGAUGAGGUGCUUGCACCUUAUCUUAGCGGCGGACGGGUGAGUAAUGCUUAGGAAUCUGCCUAUUAGUGGGGGACAACAUUCAGACAGGAAUGCUAAUACCGAAUACGCCCUACGGGGGAAAGCAGGGGAUCUUCGGACCUUGCGCUAAUAGAUGAGCCUAAGUCGGAUUAGGUAGUUGGGGGGGUAAAGGCCUACCAAGGCGACGAUCUGUAGCGGGUCUGAGAGGAUGAUCCGCCACACUGGGACUGAGACACGGCCCAGACUCCUACGGGAGGCAGCAGUGGGGAAUAUUGGACAAUGGGCGGAAGCCUGAUCCAGCCAUGCCGCGUGUGUGAAGAAGGCCUUUUGGUUGUAAAGCACUUUAAGCGAGGAGGAGGCUACCUGGAUUAAUACUCUAGGAUAGUGGACGUUACUCGCAGAAUAAGCACCGGCUAACUCUGUGCCAGCAGCCGCCGUAACAC